GCCGAGGUAGCUCAGUCGGUUGGAGCGCCAGACUCAUAAGUUUAAAGUUUAAAAUUAAGUUUAAAACUAAAAUUUUAAGACCUAAUCCAUAAGGCGCUGAGAUAUCUGGAGGUCGUGUGUUCAAGUCACGCCCUCGGCA
rnacentral:tRNA from 1 species